AUCUGCAGCAAUUGUGAAUGUGCCCCGAUCUUGUCGAAUCUUGCAAGCUAUGCUGCAGGUGGUUGAGCCUGGUUCGUACUUGGAUGGGAGACUGUAAGGGAAUACCAGGUGCUGUAGGUG
rnacentral:rRNA from 1 species